GAGCCACUGCACCCAGCCAGGGAGGGAGGGUAUUAAAGGCUCAGUUCAUUCUUUCUAGGAAACCUUCCCUGCAGAUGUCCCAGCCUGCUCACUCUAGCCAUGGAAGAAGCCUUUAUACUGAAAAAAGUGACAGAGCCCUGGAAAGCUGGGGACCCACAGACAGAUGCAGUUAACAUUAAGAUGGAAUGGGACUGGGAGGGUCUUACUGCAGAUGAAAUUGUUACUGUUUUGAGGCAGUUUCUAGACUUUGUAAAAUGAGCUAAAUUAGGUUUAUGUAAAAAAAUUGAAUUCUAAAAGAGUGUUGCAACAGAACGAAGUACCAACUAUAAGAGCUUUAAGGAUUGCAAAGUUUAAACAGAUAAAGGCUUUCUUUCUUAGGGAGGAGCAAAAAAGAUUAGAAGGUCAGAGGGGAAUAGCAAAUGGAGGAUGAAAAAAAAUCAGAUUUUAGAUCAGAAAUUGUUUUACCAUGAAGUCAGCAAGUUUUUAGGAGGAACAUAAAAUGGGGCUGUAUGUUGGCUCAGACUGAGAGUAGCUCAAAGUUCAGGAGCCUGUGGAAAGGAGAUAAACUUAAGUAAAGUUUGAUUAAGAAGUAUUUUAGGCUGGGCACAAUGGCUCAUGCCUGUAAUCCCAGCACUUUGGGAGGCCAAGGCCGGGGGAUCACUUGAGGUCGGGAGUUCGAGACCAGCCUGGCCAACAUGACGAAACCCCAUCUCUA
rnacentral:lncRNA from 10 species